ACGGGAGGCAGCAGUGGGGAAUAUUGCACAAUGGGCGCAAGCCUGAUGCAGCGAUGCCGUGUGAGGGAAGAAGGUUUUCGGAUUGUAAACCUCUGUCAUCGGGGACGAUAAUGACUGUACCCGAGAAGGAAGCUCCGGCUAACUACGUGCCAGCAGCCGCGGUAAUACGUAGGGAGCGAGCGUUAUCCGGAAUUACUGGGUGUAAAGGGAGUGUAGGCGGGACUGUAAGUCAGAUGUGAAAUAUGCCGGCUCAACUGGCAGACUGCAUUUGAAACUGCGGUUCUUGAGGGAAGUAUGGGUGAGCGGAAUUCCUAGUGUAGCGGUGAAAUGCGUAGAAAUUAGGGGGAACAUCAGUGGCGAAGGCGGCUUACUGGGCUGUAACUGACGCUGGGGCUCGAAAGCGUGGGGAGCAAACAGGAUUAGAUACCCUGGUA
rnacentral:rRNA from 1 species